ACCUCUAAUAAGCGUCCCCUAUUCCUAGCCCGCGCGGUUGCACCCGAUACCUUCCCAUUGUCCUCCAUCAACCCAGCCGCCGGAAGCGUCAUGGCGGCCCUCCAUCCUCGGUGAGGCAAUUUGUCGAACUACUUUCGGGCAUAUAAGGUUAUAUCAUGUAUCACUGCAGCCUCAUCAAGAUCCCGGCCAUCCCAUUGUUUUCAAGGCCCCCGAGACGACUUAAAUGCUGGGAAUCUGCUCGGAGCUUCAAUUCGCGAUCCUUUGCCGAUAGCUUUCUCCUGGAAGCACUCGAGAACAGCACCAGACGGAACUCCCAAACCCUAGGAGGCGGUAGGGGUGGAAGCUCUCGAUGUUUACGCGAAGGAUUUCUUCAGAAGGCCUGGGAAAGCACUCGUGGAAAGAAGGCAAGAGGCUUUUCACGUGGGUUUCAUCUGCCGCCGCUGGAAAUUAUUGGUUGCGCGAGAACUCGGAUAUUUCCGAGUGGAUUUUGUCUGAAAACCCUGGAAUCCAGGAGUUUCUCGGACGGACUUCACCUGAGAUCCCUAGAAAGAAUACACGGAAUACAAACAAGGGUCUUCUCCAGUGACCCCGAGGAGAGAGCUGUGGAUAAUGUGGAUAGCAAGUCACUUCCUUGGUUAGCAGCCGAUGGAGACAAAGAACGAAAGGUGGUGGAGAAAAGGGCUUCCUUAAGAAGCAAUAACUCCUCGUGGGAACAGUCUGCGGAGAUUUAUUUUUCGAGAAAUAGUGGAAUGCUGAUGAAAGGGAACAGUGAGGGUAGAGAUAGGAGCGAAGAGAGCAUCAAAAGCAGCAGAGGUUUUGCUAAUGAAGAGAAGUAUGAGGAUGUGAAGGAAGAAGAUAAUGAGCCUAUUGGCGAUCCAAGAUGGGACAGGAUCAAGAAUGUGUACAAGGGGUUUGUUGAUCGAGAAUCUCGUUUUGAGAAACCAGAAGUUCGUCGGUGGAAUAAGCAGGAGAAAUGGGGAAGAAAGACAUGGAAAGAGGCCACCGAAUCAUCAGUUCCAAAAAUGGUAGGCCAAGGGGUUUAUGGGGUUGCUCCAGUUUUGGCAGCAUUGACAGCAGCAGGGAGGGAAUUUUAUGCUCUCUAUGUUCAGGAAGGGUUGGACUUGAGCAAAAACAAUAAGAAGAAGAAGGACAAGAAAGCAGUGGAGAAGGUCUUGCAGAUAGCUGAAAAGAUAGGAUUGAAGGUUAUAGUAGCUUCUAAGCAUGAUCUGAAUAUGAUGGUUGACAACCGACCUCAUCAAGGUCUGGUGCUUGAUGCUUCACCAUUAGAGAUGGUUAGUAUUAGGGAACUAGAGCCUGUAUCAGUGGAGGGUCAAAAAGCUCCUCUCUGGGUGGCUUUGGACGAGGUUACGGACCCUCAGAAUUUAGGAGCUAUUAUAAGGUCGGCAUAUUUUUUUGGAGCAGAAGGAGUGGUGUUGUGUGCAAAGAACUCAGCUCCUUUGAGUGGUGUGGUUAGCAAAGCCAGUGCAGGCUCCCUUGAAUUGAUCGAGCUGCUGUCCUGUAAGAACAUGAUGCAGUUCUUGUCAUCAUCAAUUGAGAAUGGUUGGAGGGUUCUUGGAGGGUCAGUUUCUUCAAGAGCCAUCCCAUUAAAUGAGGUUGAAGCUGGGGUACCCACUAUACUUGUGUUGGGCAGUGAAGGCAGUGGGUUGAGAGCUCUAGUGGAGAGGACGUGUACGGAGUUGAUUAAAAUUCCUGGAUUCAUGCCUGGAUGGGUUGGAACAACUGAAAUGGAUGCUCAGGAAAAGGUUCAAAUCAAUUCUGGGCAAGAUCUUAAGUCCUUUCAUGCUGUAGAGAGCCUGAAUGUAAGUGUGGCAGCUGGUGUGUUUCUAUACCAUCUGAUUGGGCAUAAUAGUCAUGUUGUAGAUUAGGAGACUCAAAAUCUGGUCAAAGAACUAUGAACUUGGGGAGAAGCAUUUAAGAUUGGCUGGCUUGCUUCGGCGCAGGCUGAAUUUGGCUUCAAAUCUACGCGUUUUCCAUCUUAGACGAAGAAAUAGGCAAGUAUAAUCAGGAUCUCAUUGAUUUGAUAUAUGAAAUAUCAGCUAUCAUUCAACUAGCUAAAAUGAACCGAGAUGCUCUGAUGCAACAUUCAUAUUAUUGAUAGAGAUAUUUGUCUCUCUCUCUUAGUGUACCUUUGUUUCGGCUUUUUUUGUAGUUAUUAAGCACCAGCUGAUAUCUCAAGACUUUUCAGACCUUGCAAAGCCAAGGAGUAAAACCAGCAACAAGUAUAAAUGUUAUGGGGAUAAAACUGAUAGCUUAGCUUGCUUCUUUGUCGCUGUUUCAAAAUAAGCCUAAUUUACACAGAUUUAUGAUUUCUUUUUUCUUUGAAAGAACGUAUUGUUCCAGUUCGGUGAGGUCUACUGCCCUCCGAGCGAGUUCAAAAAAGUCAUGCACAGGCAUGAACACAAUGUAGUCUAAAAGGUGGGCCCCUGGUUUGGCAACUGGGACCAUCAAGCAGGGAAGGGACGAGAAUGGGGUGGUGGCCUGGCUCUUUGUGGAGGCACAAGCAGGUGGUGGAAGAAAGCGACCCCCAUACAUUGGCACAAGUACACCAUUCCAGGUUGCAAGGUCAAGCACAUGGUAUGUUCAGUGUAUUUGGGACUGCUUCAGCUAAUUCAAUGAUUGAGAGCUCCAUCAAGAGUGCUGUAUGAAGCUUGGCCAAGCAACUUGCAGUAACUUUUGGGGGUGGUCUCCCUUUGAAUUUAAAUGGUGGCUACAAAUUCAAGAAGCCAAACAUGAUACAGUGGGCUGUAAACAACUUUAUGUUGCAGUUUUAAGGCAUAGCUUUAGCUAGGAGAUGGUUGCUUCCCUGCUUGCAUCAGAUUUAGCCUAGUUCGAUCAACCAACCAACCAACCAAAACCAUUGAAGGACCUUUCAUAACUUGAAGAAGAUUCAAGCUUCAUAGCUAAGAAUGUCUAUUUUAAAAGUCUAAGAAGAAAGGGGGUUGUCAUGAACAAAAGAGCUGCGUGCUUUAGACAAUCAUCUUAGCACCUAAACAGGAAAAGGCUAAUAAUAA